rnacentral:lncRNA from 1 species
ACUAGUUGCAGUAGCAGGCGACAAUGAAGGUGCUCUUCGUGGGGGCCUCUCCUCCGCCCGAAUGUGGCGAAGAAGGCGGAAGGAAGAGAUGACUUUGUAAUAAACAGAUAAGGUGAGAAGGAGAUUGGCGUUCGAGACUCCACAGGGGCAUGUGGCGAGUAGUGAAGACGGCUUACAACAAAAAAGAUCAUCCGGUUGUUUUGAAGAGUUUUCCUAAGAUUUAUAGCCAAGAUAUCAAAGUAUGUAAGUGAACAGAUUGUUGGACAUCUUGGGACUUGCCCGCAUCAGCCACAGUUCCUUAUACGAGAUUAUGUCAAAGCCCACUUAUUGUUUAUCUGGGCAAUGUGGCGUUCACAUAUUGCCACUAAUAUGAUUCAUCAUCAACAACAGUUUCCUUUGUAUAUGCCAAUUUGACCCUUGUUAUGGUUUUCUUUGCUUGGCCAAGUGUACGUCUAACUAGCUUAGCUAAUAGAUAAUGGCGCCAUGUCCUGAAUCAUCAUGUGUUGUUGCUAGUGGAGGGUGACAUUAUUGGUCUUUCAAGUCUCACUCGCUGAUGAAGAUCUGAUCCCGCCUGCUGUCGACGCCCUCUUGACAGCCAUGUUGCUCGAGCUCCAGCUUCACUCAGAA